rnacentral:rRNA from 1 species
UACGUAGGGUGCGAGCGUUGUCCGGAAUUACUGGGCGUAAAGAGCUCGUAGGUGGUUUGUCGCGUUGUUCGUGAAAACUCACAGCUUAACUGUGGGCGUGCGGGCGAUACGGGCAGACUGGAGUACUGCAGGGGAGACUGGAAUUCCUGGUGUAGCGGUGGAAUGCGCAGAUAUCAGGAGGAACACCAGUGGCGAAGGCGAGUUUCUGGACGGUAACUGACGCUGAGGCACGACAGCAUGGGGAGCGAACGGG